rnacentral:rRNA from 1 species
ACGCUCGACACCUACGGGAGGCAGCAGUUAGGAAUAUUGGGCAAUGGAGGAAACUCUGACCCAGCAACGCCGCGUGAAGGAAGAAGGUUUUCGGAUUGUAAACUUCUGAUCUAGGGGAAGAAGGAAGUGACGGUACCCUAGGAGAAAGCCACGGCUAACUACGUGGCAGCAGCCGCGGUAAUCUGAGCGGGCUGGCAAGGC